GGGUGUACAUAUCUGAGCAGGAACCGCCACCGCUGUCUCUGCCUGGGUCACUGUUUCCGAGCCUGUGGUGUAGACAUAAGCAUAUUUGUGCGUGGGGCUGGGAGAAUCAGGGUGUCUGAGAGGGGCAUGUCUGGGAUGCCUGGUGUGGUGUGUCAGUGUGAAUAGUGCUCCCACUGUGCAUCUCUGUCCCAGUGUCAAGUGUGAGUUUCUGGGACCGUCUAGAUGUGUGUGAACAUGUACAGGUAUAACUCAGAGAUAUUGUGGACUCGGUUCCAAAUCACCAUAAUAGAGUGAAUAUCACUAUAAAAAUCACAGGAGAACAUUACCUUUCCUGAAGCCAAAGUCAGACAAAUUCGUGGCAAUUUUACCAAUGUUCUGCCCAAAGCUGCUCAAAAGUAGACCUCCGUUCCUCAGGCCACGUUAGCUGGGUGUCCACGCCUGGGUCUUUGUCUCUGUCUGU